GACGAACGCUGGCGGCGUGCCUAACACAUGCAAGUCGAACGGAGUUGACCUUCGGGUUAACUUAGUGGCGAACGGGUGAGUAACGCGUGAGAAACCUGCCUUUCAGUGGGGGACAACAGUUGGAAACGACUGCUAAUACCGCAUAAUGUCAUUUGGGGGCAUCCCGAAUGACCAAAGAUUUAUUGCUGAAAGAUGGUCUCGCGUCUGAUUAGCUAGAUGGCGGGGUAACGGCCCACCAUGGCGACGAUCAGUAGCCGGUCUGAGAGGAUGAACGGCCACAUUGGGACUGAGAUACGGCCCAG
rnacentral:rRNA from 1 species